rnacentral:lncRNA from 1 species
AUUCUUAUCUAAGUUUGACACCUAUGUCAAGGAGAAUCUGAUUUAAAGCUUCCGAGGUAUUGUGAGGUAUCGCAGGGAACUCAAUGGAGAUCAGAGAUCCACCAAAUCCAGGGACAAGAGCAGGGGCAGCUAUUCUCUGUCUGGGUCCUGCUCUCUUACAGUCAUUCUUGCUGUGUCUUACUUUCUCUGGUAAAAUUUGGAUAAUUGACAGGGUAAUUGUCCUAAAGAACAGAGAUGAAAGGUUAAGAAUAAUUCCUAAGUCAUCCUGGCAACGACAGUCAAGUAGAUCAACUUUUUUCCGGAUUCCUAAAAUGAGACCUCUGCUAUUGACCCACUAAGCAUUUGACAAACUGGACAAAAGACAAAUACCCUGGAGAAGUGCUGGAGUAGUUGAUAAUAGUAUUUAAACCUAGAUAAGAUAAACUGAAAUUUUCUCAUAGCUCACUAUGUAAGUUUCCAUUCUUUGUGAUUUGGUAGAUUGGAAAAAUGCAGUCAUUUUUACAUAUUAAAAUCUCGUUUUUCAUAUGUCUGUUAAUAGUUAUUCACUUAAAAAUUCUUCAAUACCAGUGUUCACGUUAAAAAAAAUUAGUAUAGCCCCAUAAAUGAUAUAAUAAUAUAUGUAAUUUUUUCUGAUCCCUAUCUCGAUACACACAGAUCAUCCAUAUUUGGAAUCAAGCAAUGUAUGCAUUAUAAUUUGCCAUUCACUCCAAUUGAUAUUGUCUUCUAAAUGGAUGCAGAUAAAUUGUUUGUUUUUUUUUUUUGGUAAAUUUUGGUAAUUUUCAGUGGCUAGUGUAAUCUUCAGAUAUCUUUAGCACCCACC